GACGAACCGUGCGAACGUUAUUCGGAAUCACUGGGCUUAAAGCGCGUGUAGGCGGAUGGGAACGUCGGUAGUUGAAAGCCCCCGGCUCAACCGGGGAAGUGGUGCCGAAACGACCCGUCUGGAGGGACGUAGGGGGACCUGGAACUUCCGGUGGAGCGGUGAAAUGCGUUGAGACUCGGAAGGAACGCCCGUGGCGAAAGCGAGGUCCUGGACGUCUACUGA
rnacentral:rRNA from 1 species